UACGGAAUGUGCAAACGUUAUUCGGAAUCACUGGGCUUAAAGAGUCCGUAGGCGGCUUGUUAGGUGAGGUGUGAAAUCCCCCGGCUCAACCGAGGAAUUGCGCUUCAAACCGGCAAGCUUGAGGAGGAUAGAGGUGGGCGGAACUGAUGGUGGAGCGGUGAAAUGCAUAGAUAUCGUCAAGAACACCUAUAGCGAAGGCAGCUUACUGGGCUGUAACUGACGCUGAGGCACGAAAGUGUGGGGAUCAAACAGG
rnacentral:rRNA from 1 species